rnacentral:rRNA from 1 species
UAGGGAAUAUUGGACAAUGGGCGCAAGCCUGAUCCAGCCAUGCCGCGUGCAGGAUGAAGGCCUUCGGGUUGUAAACUGCUUUUGUACGGAACGAAAAGACUCCUUCUAAUAAAGGGGGUCCAUGACGGUACCGUAAGAAUAAGCACCGGCUAACUACGUGCCAGCAGCCGCGGUAAUACGUAGGGUGCGAGCGUUAAUCGGAAUUACUGGGCGUAAAGCGUGCGCAGGCGGUUAUAUAAGACAGAUGUGAAAUCCCCGGGCUCAACCUGGGAACUGCAUUUGUGACUGUAUAGCUAGAGUACGGCAGAGGGGGAUGGAAUUCCGCGUGUAGCAGUGAAAUGCGUAGAUAUGCGGAGGAACACCGAUGGCGAAGGCAAUCCCCUGGACCUGUACUGACGCUCAUGCGCGAAAGCGUGGGGAGCAAACA